CUUAAGUAGAGGUGGAGUAUGGCACACCUGGACAGACAGAAGUGCAAACCUCAUUUUAGCAGAUUGUGGGGGUCACUUAUUCUUGGGGAGCCAUGGCUCCAGCAAAACAUUUUUCAUGUUGGAUCUGUUUUGAUGAUUGAUCGCCUGGAAAAACAUCGGCACUGACGCCAUCAGCACCUCUCUGGAAAGUUGAGAUUUUCAAUCAAAGCGCCGCACAGAAAGCAAGGAGCACUCUGAAACAAGACGCCAGGAGCGCUGCUUCUCUCUCCAGGCGGCCACAUUCGCUGCCUCCUCAUUAGAAAUUGCUGAAAAAAAAGAUGCUCAUUAAAAAAAAAAAAAAAAAACGACGCCUUGGACGUAAGCCCUGGUACAUGAUUUGGAUUCUGAGGGCGACGAGAUGAGAAGGUUGAAAAGCAACAUGUGAACUGCACAAGUUUUCCCAAAGAUUGUUUAAUCUGAAAGAUGCACUGAUCACAUGAAUAUUCUUAGUGUAGUUUCAUAAGCCUUGAAUUUCACUGUGAGCGCCGUCACUGUGACAUGUGAUUAAAGAGAUCUGAGAUAAAACACCUUCCCUCACCCGGAGCAGUUCGUGCAGAUUAUGCAAAAACACUCAGCUCGACAAAAAAAAUGAGAAGAGCUGCAAUUACAUGUUAUUUUACAAUCGUGUUGUUGUUAUUGUUAUUGUUAUUUUGGAAGCAGAAUGAGGAAACUGAAAUCAAAUCCUACGUUUGCAUCAGUGAAAACAAACAAAAAUAAAAAACAGAGUCUCCUCUUCGUCUGCACAGCAAACUUCCUCCAUUAUGCAAAUAUGUUUCACACUGUUAACUGCUGAUUAAGAUUUCAUUAAACAAACAUGAACAC